CAUAUACUUAAACAAUUAUUACAAAUAGAUCCUUUUUGAUUUAAAAAAAAAAUAAAUCAUGCACAUGUGACUAUUGAUACCUUUUUAAUCUUUCUAAUUACAACUGCUCUAAUAAAAUAGCAACUAAAAGUAUAGUUGCCUGUGUUGAUUUUUCUUAAACUUGGUGUUCCAAAUCAAAAUUAAAACUGGCUAUUACAGCCAAACAUUUGAGAUGUUUUAUCAACAAUUUAAUAUUAUCCAUGUUACUGAGAUUUUUAUUAUUCCCAAGGAAACAGUACUGUGGAACUUUAAGUCUAUAUCUUUUAAAAAAAAUUUAAAUGUCAAAAACCUCUCUAAGUGUCUAUGGCACCCUACAAUCUAACAUACUCAUAAGAUAAAGGGAUCCACUUAUUGACACAUGGCAUGAUCCUGUUCAGAUACUUAAUAUGGGGGAAAGGGGACAAUAUUUCUGUUUUUUCCACAGAAUGCUACAAGAGCAUGCUAGCUCCCAGAAUGAUUCCUGUGACAGGCUGACCUGUGAGUUCCUGAGUGCCCUGACAGUGGUGACCAGAAAGCUGUAUUGAGUGC
rnacentral:lncRNA from 1 species